GUGUCAGCAGCCGCGGUAAUACGAAGGGUGCAAGCGUUAAUCGGAAUUACUGGGCGUAAAGCGUGCGUAGGCGGUUGGCUAAGUCAGAUGUGAAAGCCCUGGGCUCAACCUGGGAAUGGCAUUUGAAACUGGCCGGCUAGAGUGUGAUAGAGGAUGGCGGAAUUCCCGGUGUAGCGGUGAAAUGCGUAGAGAUCGGGAGGAACAUCCGUGGCGAAGGCGGCCAUCUGGAUCAACACUGACGCUGAGGCACGAAAGCGUGGGGAGCAAACAGGAUUAGAUACCCUAGUAGUCC
rnacentral:rRNA from 1 species